rnacentral:rRNA from 1 species
GACGAACGCUGGCGGCGUGCCUAACACAUGCAAGUCGAACGGAGUUGAAAGGAGCUUGCUUUUUUCAACUCAGUGGCGGACGGGUGAGUAACGCGUGAGUAACCUGCCUUUCAGAGGGGGAUAACGUUCUGAAAAGAACGCUAAUACCGCAUAAGAUUGUAGUUUCGCAUGGAGCAGCAAUCAAAGGAGCAAUCCGCUGAAAGAUGGACUCGCGUCCGAUUAGAUAGUUGGCGGGGUAACGGCCCACCAAGUCGACGAUCGGUAGCCGGACUGAGAGGUUGAUCGGCCACAUUGGGACUGAGACACGGCCCAGACUCCUACGGGAGGCAGCAGUGAGGGAUAUUGGGCAAUGGGGGAAACCCUGACCCAGCAACGCCGCGUGAGGGAUGACGGUUUUCGGAUUGUAAACCUCUGUCCUCUGUGAAGAUAGUGACGGUAGC